rnacentral:rRNA from 1 species
CCUACGGGUGGCAGCAGUGGGGAAUAUUGCACAAUGGGCGCAAGCCUGAUGCAGCCAUGCCGCGUGUGUGAAGAAGGCCUUCGGGUUGUAAAGCACUUUCAGCGGGGAGGAAGGCGGUGAGGUUAAUAACCUCAUCGAUUGACGUUACCCGCAGAAGAAGCACCGGCUAACUCCGUGCCAGCAGCCGCGGUAAUACGGAGGGUGCAAGCGUUAAUCGGAAUUACUGGGCGUAAAGCGCACGCAGGCGGUCUGUCAAGUCGGAUGUGAAAUCCCCGGGCUCAACCUGGGAACUGCAUUCGAAACUGGCAGGCUAGAGUCUUGUAGAGGGGGGUAGAAUUCCAGGUGUAGCGGUGAAAUGCGUAGAGAUCUGGAGGAAUACCGGGGGCGAAGGCGGCCCCCUGGACAAAGACUGACGCUCAGGUGCGGAAGCGUGGGGAGCAAACAGGAUGAGAUACCCAGUAGUC